rnacentral:rRNA from 1 species
UACGGAGGGUGCGAGCGUUUAUCGGAAUUACUGGGCGUAAAGCGUGCGUAGGCGGAUGCUUGAGUCGGAUGUGAAAGCCCUGGGCUCAACCUGGGAAUGGCAUUCGAUACUGGGCAUCUAGAGUGUGGUAGAGGGGGGUAGAAUUCCUGGUGUAGCGGUGAAAUGCGUAGAUAUCAGGAGGAAUACCUGUGGCGACGGCGACCACCGGGAUCAACACUGACGCUGAGGUACGAAAGCGAGGGUAGCAAACAGG